GUGGGGAAUCUUAGACAAUGGGGGAAACCCUGAUCUAGCCAUGCCGCGUGAUCGAUGAAGGCCUUAGGGUUGUAAAGAUCUUUCAGGUGGGAAGAUAAUGACUGUACCACCAGAAGAAGCCCCGGCUAACUCCGUGCCAGCAGCCGCGGUAAUACGGAGGGGGCUAGCGUUGUUCGGAAUUACUGGGCGUAAAGCGCACGUAGGCGGAUUGGAAAGUUGGGGGUGAAAUCCCGGGGCUCAACCCCGGAACUGCCUUCAAAACUCCCAGUCUUGAGUUCGAGAGAGGUGAGUGGAAUUCCGAGUGUAGAGGUGAAAUUCGUAGAUAUUCGGAGGAACACCAGUGGCGAAGGCGGCUCACUGGCUCGAUACUGACGCUGAGGUGCGAAAGCGUGGGGAGCAAACAGGAUUAGAUACCCUAGUAGUCC
rnacentral:rRNA from 1 species